UUAUUUUUAUAUAAAAUUUCUUGUAUAAUAGCUUUAAUGUGGUAAGCAAGUUUCUACCCCAUAACCGUAAAUUUUGGGACUACGAGAUUAAAUAGAAUUUUU
rfam:Clostridium sp. CAG:307 genomic scaffold, scf81